rnacentral:rRNA from 1 species
AACAGGUUGAUAUUCCUGUACCACCUAUAAUCGUUUUAAUCGAUGGGGGGACGCAGUAGGAUAGGCGAAGCGUGCGAUUGGAUUGCACGUCUAAGCAGUAAGGCUGAGUAUUAGGCAAAUCCGGUACUCGUUAAGGCUGAGCUGUGAUGGGGAGAAGACAUUGUGUCUUCGAGUCGUUGAUUUCACACUGCCGAGAAAAGCCUCUAGAUAGAAAAUAGGUGCCCGUACCGCAAACCGACACAGGUAGUCAAGAUGAGAAUUCUAAGGUGAGCGAGCGAACUCUCGUUAAGGAACUCGGCAAAAUGACCCCGUAACUUCGGGAGAAGGGGUGCUCUUUAGGGUUAACGCCCAGAAGAGCCGCAGUGAAUAGGCCCAAGCGACUGUUUAUCAAAAACACAGGUCUCUGCUAAACCGUAAGGUGAUGUAUAGGGGCUGACGCCUGCCCGGUGCUGGAAGGUUAAGAGGAGUGGUUAGCUUCUGCGAAGCUACGAAUCGAAGCCCCAGUAAACGGCGGCCGUAACUAUAACGGUCCUAAGGUAGCGAAAUUCCUUGUCGGGUAAGUUCCGACCCGCACGAAAGGCGUAACGAUUUGGGCACUGUCUCAACGAGAGACUCGGUGAAAUCAUAGUACCUGUGAAGAUGCAGGUUACCCGCGACAGGACGGAAAGACCCCGUGGAGCUUUACUGUAGCCUGAUAUUGAAAUUCGGCACAGCUUGUACAGGAUAGGUAGGAGCCUUUGAAACGUGA